AUCACAAGACAUCCCCAUCUCUCAGCGUGGACUCCCCCUAUCUGGGUUGCUCUCGUAGUCCAGACAAGAGCACUUACAUGGAGUUUAGCUUCUACAUUUAACAGAAAAAGAAACAAGUUUAUAUUGAUCUAAAGCUGACGACCUAGUAUAGAGAUUAUAUUGAAAUACCACAAAAUGGACUAACAGACAUAUAAAGGUCCAGAAGAUGGGGAUCUUUGUUGUUUCUAGGAUGGACAAAUGCAUGCCUAAAACCAAGUGAAACCCAAGAUUUCGUUUCAGAAGUGAGUGUAUUUGGCUUUUCAAGGACUUGAAGCAUGAAAACAACAUCUCUAAAAUAUUUUUAAAUCUGCUGUGCAUCUUGCAAUCCAGUUUCAUAGGUGGAAUCUGAGUGUUUUAAAUGCAGAUACAUUAAAAAUAAUGAAAUAUGCUAAAG